rnacentral:rRNA from 1 species
GAUGAACGCUGGCGGCGUGCCUAAUACAUGCCAGUCGAGCGAACAGACGAGGAGCUUGCUCCUCUGACGUUAGCGGCGGACGGGUGAGUAACACGUGGAUCACCUACCUAUCAGACUGGGAUAACUUCGGGAAACCGGAGCUAAUACCGGAUAAUCUAUUGCACCGCAUUGUUCAAUAGUGAAAGACGGUUUUGCUGUCACUUCUAGAUGGAUCCGCGCCGCAUUAGCUAGUUGGUAAGGUCACGGCUUACCAAGGCAACCAUGCGUAGACGACCUGAGAGGGUGAUAGGCCACACUGGAACUGAGACACGGUCCAGACGCCUGCGGGAGGCAGCAGUAGGGAAUCUGCCGCAAUGGGCGAAAGCCUGACGGAGCAACGCCGCGUGAGUGAUGAAGGUCUUCGGAGCGUAAAGCUCUGUUAUGAGGGAAGAACAAAUGUGUAAGUAAAUAUGCACGUCUUGACGGUACCGAAUCAGAAAGCAACGGCUAACUACGUG